GCAUUAAUGGGGUAGUGGUAACCUGGGUCGUUGCCAUUUGAGCAUCAGCUCGACCCGCCGGGGGUUCGAUUCCCUCUUAAUGCA
rnacentral:tRNA from 1 species